AUCGGCGGAAUGGCGCACGACGAGGGCGUCCGCAGCCUGUGGCGUGGCUCGUCGCUCGCCGCCCCGGUCGUCCUUCUCGGCGGCGCCGUGCUCAACACAACUCAACACUGAGAGUGUGUUCCUACCAUACGUCCAACUCUGUCUGUUGCCGUCCGACCAAGCUGCUCCCACCUCCGUUCAUCUCCCUCUGCUCUAGCUUUCACCAAUUCAGAUGCUAGGGAGAUCGAUCCAGCAGGGAAACUUGCAAUUCGAUUGCCAAGGAGCUCGAUUCGCUGGCUAAUUUUAUCUCUCUGUGCUAGUUCGAUUGAUUUGUGAGGAAGAUUUUCAUUGCAUAGGGACAGGUAGCGGCAGCCGGCGAGGUGGGCCUCAAGCCUGUCCAGCGCGCCGAACAGCUCGCUCCCGCGGAGGAGGCGCAAUGCGCGCUCGAGGGCGCCUCGGCGGAGCUCAGCAUCGCCCUCGUCAGCAUGGCCGCGGCCCGCCACCUCGCACUCCGGGGCGUCGCGGAGCAGAGGAGCAGAGGAGAGGGGAAGGAAGGAGAAGAAAGAGUGGAACCGGGUUGGGUCCGGGCACGCGGGCCGGACAAAUCGAGUCCGGGACCAGCUUUGGACAUCUGCUGACUUGGAGCCGAGCUGGAGUCACACGCUGGCAGCCACGUGAGCGAAAAUGAUAAAAAUAUAAGGUGGUGGUGAUGCCAUUCAACUUGCUAUCAAUAGGAUUUGUGCUUCUAUGCUUAGAGGAUGAGGAGCAAGAUCAAUAAGAAUAUGCAGGUUCUCCAAAGCCUGAUAGUGAACUCUAACAAUGUCUGUGGAAAAUGAGAAGGGCAACAAGCUAAGGGCAGUUCAGUCCUGUUCGUGUUGGGUUUGAAUUGCAUCCGAAUUACCUGAAGCUUCAAAUGCUGCUUAAACUUCCAGGUAAAAGGAUGAACUGCUGUUCGCACUGCUGGAGACUUGUACGGUCAUCGGCGAUGCCGUGCUCACCCUGCAGUCUUCAGUGUAUUCUGCGUUACCUAGGCUCGAGUUGUUGAUAGAAAAGGAGCAGCACAAAUGUAGGUUAAAUCCUUUCUUCUUGCGUCAGUAGUAUGCAUUUGGUUUCUAUGCAUAAGUGCAAUAGGCCUCUACAAUAUCAUCCAUUGGGACCACCAUGUCUAUCGAGCCCCUCUUGCGAGCUCUCGUGAGUCCUCUCGCCAUACUAGCUACAUGUAUCAAUUCCUCAAGAAGACUCAAACUGGUGGCUGGAGGUUAGUGGGUGGAAUCCUUCUAUGUGUAACAGGCACAGAUACGCUAUGCUACCGUUUCUUACUGUUUGGUUGUGGCCCUGUUUGAAUUGAAAUAUCAGCAGGCUUAUUGUUGAAACUUUUAGGCUCUGAAGCUUUGUAUGCAGAUCUUGGAUACUUCUCGCAAUCAUCAAUUCAGGUA